rnacentral:rRNA from 1 species
CCUACGGGAGGCAGCAGUGAGGAAUAUUGGUCAAUGGGCGCGAGGCUGAACCAGCCAAGUCGCGUGAGGGAAGAAGGUCCUAUGGAUUGUAAACCUCUUUUGUCGGGGAGCAAAAGACGCCACGCGUGGCGGACCGAGAGUACCCGAAGAAAAAGCAUCGGCUAACUCCGUGCCAGCAGUCGCGGUAAUACGGAGGAUGCGAGCGUUAUCCGGAUUUAUUGGGUUUAAAGGGUGCGCAGGCGGAAGAUUAAGUCAGCGGUAAAAUUGAGAGGCUCAACCUCUUCGAGCCGUUGAAACUGGUUUUCUUGAGUGAGCGAGAAGUAUGCGGAAUGCGUGGUGUAGCGGUGAAAUGCAUAGAUAUCACGCAGAACUCCGAUUGCGAAGGCAGCAUACCGGCGCCCAACUGACGCUCAUGCACGAAAGUGUGGGUAUCGAACAGGAUUAGAUACCCUUGUAGUC